rnacentral:rRNA from 1 species
AUGCACGCUGGCGGCGUGCCUAAUACCUGCCAGUCGAGCGAACAGAUCAGGAGCUUGCUCCUUUGACGUUAGCGGCGGACGGGUGAGUAACACGUGGGUAACCUACCUAUAAGACUGGGAUAACUUCGGGAAACCGGAGCUAAUACCGGAUAAUAUUUCGAACCGCAUGGUUCGAUAGUGAAAGAUGGUUUUGCUAUCACUUAUAGAUGGACCCGCGCCGUAUUAGCUAGUUGGUAAGGUAACGGCUUACCAAGGCGACGAUACGUAGCCGACCUGAGAGGGUGAUCGGCCACACUGGAACUGAGACACGGUCCAGACUCCUACGGGAGGCAGCAGUAGGGAAUCUUCCGCAAUGGGCGAAAGCCUGACGGAGCAACGCCGCGUGAGUGAUGAAGGUCUUCGGAUCGUAAAACUCUGUUAUUAGGGAAGAACAUACGUGUAAGUAACUGUGCACGUCUUGACGGUACCUAAUCAGAAAGCCACGGCUAACUACGUG